UUCAAUACUGUUCCAUCAAACGAAUAGUGUGCACUUUUCUCUUAGUAAGACGUUGUGAUCCAUUAGGAAUCGAUUUGUUCCCCCAUGGAAUAAUCAAUAGGCUACCAAUAGGCUGGCAUUGAAGUUCACUUUGACAAACAACACGAUCGUCUAUGGUUUUGUAUAUUGUCUUGUGAGCAUGUCAUGUACUGAUGUAGCUGCCUGAUGGAUUUUAAAGGUCGUAUCAUUGAUGCUUGCAUCACCCGUCUUGUAUGGGCUCGAUAUGUACCCGAUCAACAACGGUUUCAUUUGGGAUACCUUUUGGACCCGUCUUGAAACACGGACCAAGGAGUCUAUCUAGUAUGCGAGUAAAUGGGCCUUUAUUU
rnacentral:rRNA from 1 species